rnacentral:sRNA from 1 species
ACGGAGUCAUCAAAACCGCUGAUGCGAA